rnacentral:lncRNA from 1 species
CGAGCUUCACCUGUGUGUAGUUAACCCUGGGGCCAUCCCAGCUGCUCCCAAUCUCUGCUGAUGAGGCAGGCUGGGGACACUUUCCUUUCUGCCUUCCCUCAGAAGGGUGCUAGCUCAGGGAGAAGGAGUUACACACAAAGCUGGAGCCCUCCUUUGUGGAGCUCCAUCCCCCAGGCAGAGGCUGUGAGGUUAUGGUCCAGAAUUGCUGAAGGUUACACUUCAGCAGUCCCGUGUGGGAGAAGACUGGCACCAGUAUUUUAAAACUAGGACAUAACUAUUCCAGUGCUGUGGCAAGCCUUGACUUUUUAAUAUCUACCACUGUGACGCCUGAGUGAUUUAUGUGCACGUUCUGUUGCUACCACCUCAUUCCCAAGGAUUGGAAGCGCUGCAGCAAAUGUAAAUAAUGAAGUGGAAUGAUCAUCCUGAUGCUGAGGAGUUACACAUUGUGAAAAACACCGUGUUAUCACUUGGGAAGGGUUGUUGUCAUACAACCAGUACCAUACUGGCUUCAUCUUAGAUGUGCAGAAUCUUUGCCAAAAGAUCCAAAAUCUCCCACGUACCCAUGAAACCUAACUUACACUUGCUUUACCAAUGGGUGAGGCUUUGUUUGCUUCCUACUGGUGUGAAAGACACUGAUGAAACUGUCUGCAACAUUUGCUGAAACUGUAAGUGCAAGAUUCUGCACCACUCAGUGGUUUCUUGUGUUUUGUUUUGAGGUCUUAGAAUGAGAAACUGCAGCGUGUCAAAGGGACUGUCAAAAUGUUGUCAGAUUGGCUUCAAAACAAAAACAAAAAAUCAGUGUGCCUCCUAUUGCAAGAAUCAUGUAGCCUUGUUCAAGAACACAGUUCAAUUUGAUUGAAAAAUUUGAGCCAUUAGCCUUUUCUAAUAAUGUUAUAAUGUAGGAUUCAGAACAUGCUAAAAAACCUCCACCAAAAUACAAAACCCCCAUCUGUCUUACAUAAUCAGGGCUUUUUGUUAGAAACAGUUAGCUAUGCUUUGAAAAGGUAGUUUCCAUUGGAAAAUUCAUAUUCAUUGUAGCAGUGACAAAUCAAUAGUAAUGAAAGUCCAAAGGAGCCUGGAAAAUUACCUUAUUUUUUGCACUUUGGAUGCAUGGUUCUUCUGAAACAUAAAGAAAAUAUCUGAAGAAAAAUUACAAGCCAUUUUUAAAUGUACUCCUAAUAACAGUUACAGUUAAAACUGUGGAGCUGUUCAGAAAUAUCUGGGAACAAUUUACAUCUUUAAGCUCUGGAGAAGGGAUUUA